rnacentral:rRNA from 1 species
UACGGAGGGAGCUAGCGUUGUUCGGAUACACUGGGCGUAAAGCGCACGUAGGCGGCGCCGUAAGUCAGGGGUGAAAUCCCGGAGCUCAACUCCGGAACUGCCCUUGAAACUGCAGUGCUAGAAUCCUGGAGAGGCGAGUGGAAUUCCGAGUGUAGAGGUGAAAUUCGUAGAUAUUCGGAAGAACACCAGUGGCGAAGGCGACUCGCUGGACAGGUAUUGACGCUGAGGUGCGAAAGCGUGGGGAGCAAACAGG